CAAAAAGAGACCCUGAGAUCCAUUUCUUGUCCUUGCAGAGAAGAGAGAUAAUGGGUGAAUGUGUCUUUAUGUAAGUGUCCUCACUGAAGUUUAUUUGCUUCAGGUCUUAAGGUGGCAAAGCAUUUUGCAAUGAAGGCACUUGCAGCUUUACAUUGUUCUGUCUGAGGAGCUUUACCUUUACAGGUCUUGCUCCCAUUAGUACCCAUUGAAUGAUGGAUUUUUUAUCCGCAUAGGCAUUUUUCAUAUAUCAGAAGACAAUUUUAAAAAGCUGGAAGAUACCUAUAUUAAUUUCACACUCUUCAAGGACAUUUGAAAACUCCCUAGAGGGCUGUUUCCUUUUCUGACCUCAAUGUACAUGGUCUAAGAAAAUAUUGAGCACUUACAGAGUGCUUGCCCCUUCAUCUUUAGAAAGGAAUGAUUCUGAAAAUCCUGUGGAAUGUUUCACUGAAAUUGGCCUGGUGAUGAAUGUUUUAAGAGAAGCACAACAUCAAGACUCAGUUAUAUGGCCAAGUGGCUCAGUCACGCAACCAUUUCUGCAUCAGAUGCCUACCACAUGCAGGGCACUGAGCUAACUAUAGUGAGAGAGCUACAGGAAUAUACAAGAGUGAGGGAGAUGACAGGCAUACAUAGCCAUAAUAUUGGGCUAUAUGGAAUGAAAGUCUUGAAAAUGUACAAAAUAAGAGCAGUAGAAACAAAUUCCUGUGGGAAUUCAGAGUGAGAAGAAAUCAUGAGAUCAAGAAAUCAAUUAUCUCCAGGGAGGUGGUAGUAUUCAAGAUGGAGCUUGAAGAUGGAUUGUAUUUCAACAAGGUAAAGGGGUGGUGGGCACAUUAAAGAAAAAAGUAAAUGAUGAACAAAGAGACACAAAGUUUGGGAUGUUUUAAGGAAAGAUGAAUAAUUAUGUUUGGCUGUGCCAUAGAAAAUUAAUAAGAUAGAAGUCUGGAAAGUAAGUUGAAGAUAGAUCAUGAAUAAGAUAAUGCCAAUGAAAGGAAAUUGGAUUUUACAAAGACUAUGUCAAUUAACAGACUAUUGCAAUUAGUCCAGACAAGUGUUAGUGAGAGUUUUCUAGAUAUAAACUGACAUUUUAGCAGCAGAAUACAUAGGAGUUGGAGAUUGACUGGAUAUAGAGUAAGAAAAAGCAAGGAAAGAGUCAAAG
rnacentral:lncRNA from 1 species